rnacentral:rRNA from 1 species
GACGAACGCUGGCGGCGUGCCUAAUACAUGCAAGUCGAACGCAGUGGGGACGGGUGAGUAACACGUGGGUAACCUCCCAUCAGAGGGGAUAACACUUGGAAACAGGUGCUAAACCGAUACUGAUGGAUGGACCCGCGGUCCGUUAGCUAGUUGGUGAGGUAACGGCUCACCAAGGCCACGAUGCAUAGCGGACCGGAGAGGGUGAUCGGCCACACGGGGAGGGGGAAACGGCCCAGAUUCCUAGGGGAGGCAGCAUGAGGGAAUCUUCGGCAAGGGACGAAAGUCUUACCGAGAAACGCCGCGUGAGUGAAGAAGGUUUUCGGAUCGUAAAACUUGGUUGUCAGAGAAGCGGUAUCUAACCAGAAAGCCACGGCUAACUACGUGCCAGCAGCCGCGGUAAUUC